rnacentral:rRNA from 1 species
AUUGAACGCUGGCGGCAGGCAUAACACAUGCAAGUCGAGCGAGCGGCGGACGGGUGAGUAAUGUCUGGGAAACUGCCUGAUGGAGGGGGAUAACUACUGGAAACGGUAGCUAAUACCGCAUACCAUCAGAUGUGCCCAUAUGGGAUUAGCUGGUAGGUGGGGUAACGGCUCACCUAGGCGACGAGCCCUAGCUGGUCUGAGAGGAUGACCAGCCACACUGGAACUGAGACACGGUCCAGACUCCUACGGGGGGCAGCAGUGGGGAAUAUUGGAAAAGGGGCGCAAGCCUGAUUCAGCCAUGCCGCGUGUGUGAAGCAGGCCUUCGGGUUGUAAAGCACUUUCAGCGGGGAGGCGUUACCCGUAGAAGAAGCACCGGCUAACUCCGUGCCAGCAGCCGCGGUAAUUC